GCUUCCCAAGUGCUGAGAUUAAACUGUA
rnacentral:piRNA from 1 species